UGAGUCUCUACUCGCCGGAAAAUCUGUUUCAGUCGGUUGGAUCUUCAUCGGAAACGUAUAGAUCGAAUCAAAGCUUAGGGAGACUGUUUAAUUCUAAAAUUUCUAGAAGAAGACGAAACGAAGCAAAAAUAAAUCUAAGAGACGGAAACGGAGUUUCUUAACAGCGACGAGUUUCACGGAACACAUGACGGCGAGUGUCGGAGACAGCGAUACUAUGAACGGUCACAGAGGUGCACAGAGAUAGACGAAGCUGAAGAGUCCAAAGAAGAAAAGGUGUGACUAGACGCGAUGAUGCCACGUCAUAUUUAAUUACGUGAUAUCUUUUCGUCAAAAUUAUUAUUACGUGAUACAUGUACAUUUACCGUUUAACCCUCUUAGUGGGACGGUGUGGUUUGUUUUUUACUGAUCUUUAGUAAUUGCGGUAGAUCCUUUUUAGGGAAAAACUGUCAGUAAGUAAAAUCGUAAUGAUGGGAUUACGAUUUUAUCCUCGCCAGUCUUCCACUACUGUGGCGUGGAAUAUCGGGCAUAUCCCUCUCACAGUCAUCUUCGGGAUUUUCGGGAAAUGUUAAUUUUAAAAAUAAUUUGUAAUUAAUUAAAAUAUUUAAUAUAUUCCACAGCUAUUUUGCAGGAAAAUUAGAUGACACUUAGCCAGUAUAAGCGUACCACGUAGCGGAAGACGCUCUUUUACUCCUCUGUUCUUGAACUGCAAACAUAAAGUGCUUUUAAUAAGCUGUUUGGACGAUCCACUAAUGCCAAAAUGAAUAAAGACUUGCACGGUCCACUUAUUAGUUUCAUGCGUUUGUCAACAUGGGAAUUGGAUGGUUAUUUUCAUUUUCUUUAAAGACUUCUUUCUUAAUUUCAGAAAUAAUUUAAACGUAAUUAUUAAAAUGUCAAACGAGCAAGAAAGAGUUAUUUGUAUAAAAAUGAUAGAAAGUUCAAAUUUUUUAAGUAUUUGAGUGGAAGAUAUGAUGAGUUUACUUUUCAGUUUUAAAAAGAAAACCCAUUAUCUUUAAUAGUAACUAUA